UGCAAGUCGAGCGGGGGAAGGUAGCUUGCUACUGGACCUAGCGGCGGACGGGUGAGUAAUACUUAGGAAUCUGCCUAUUAGUGGGGGACAACGUUCCGAAAGGAGCGCUAAUACCGCAUACGCCCUACGGGGGAAAGCAGGGGAUCUUCGGACCUUGCGCUAAUAGAUGAGCCUAAGUCGGAUUAGCUAGUUGGUGGGGUAAAGGCCUACCAAGGCGACGAUCUGUAGCGGGUUUGAGAGGAUGAUCCGCCACACUGGGACUGAGACACGGCCCAGACUCCUACGGGAGGCAGCAGUGGGGAAUAUUGGACAAUGGGCGCAAGCCUGAUCCAGCCAUGCCGCGUGUGUGAAGAAGGCCUUAUGGUUGUAAAGCACUUUAAGCGAGGAGGAGGCUUACCUAGUUAAUACCUAGGAUAAGUGGACGUUACUCGCAGAAUAAGCACCGGCUAACUCUGUGCCAGCAGCCGCGGUAAUACAGAGGGUGCAAGCGUUAAUCGGAAUUACUGGGCGUAAAGCGCGCGUAGGUGGCCAUUUAAGUCAAAUGUGAAAUCCCCGAGCUUAACUUGGGAAUUGCAUUCGAUACUGGAUGGCUAGAGUAUAGGAGAGGAAGGUAGAAUUCCAGGUGUAGCGGUGAAAUGCGUAGAGAUCUGGAGGAAUACCGAUGGCGAAGG
rnacentral:rRNA from 1 species